rnacentral:rRNA from 1 species
CGUUCUCAGUUCGGACUGUAGGCUGCAACUCGCCUACACGAAGUCGGAAUCGCUAGUAAUCGCGGAUCAGAAUGCCGCGGUGAAUACGUUCCCGGGUCUUGUACACACCGCCCGUCACACCAGUGGGAGUCGGUAACGCCCGAAGUCAGUGACCCAACCUUAAAGGAGGGAGCUGCCGAAGGCGGGACUGGUAACUGGGGUGAAGUCGUAACAAGGUAAC